rnacentral:rRNA from 1 species
CGGCAGGCCUAACACAUGCAAGUCGAGCGCUCACCUUCGGGUGGGAGCGGCGGACGGGUUAGUAACGCGUGGGAACAUACCCUUCUCUAUGGAAUAGCCUCGGGAAACUGAGAGUAAUACCAUAUACGCCCUUCGGGGGAAAGAUUUAUCGGAGAAGGAUUGGCCCGCGUUUGAUUAGAUAGUUGGUGGGGUAAUGGCCUACCAAGUCUACGAUCAAUAGCUGGUUUGAGAGGAUGAUCAGCAACACUGGGACUGAGACACGGCCCAGACUCC